UACGGAGGAUCCGAGCGUUAUCCGGAUUUAUUGGGUUUAAAGGGUGCGUAGGCGGCUUUUUAAGUUCAGGGGUGAAAGACGGUGGCUCAACCAUCGCAGUGCCCUUGAUACUGAAGAGCUUGAAUAGACCUGAGGUAGGCGGAAUGUGACAAGUAGCGGUGAAAUGCAUAGAUAUGUCACAGAACACCAAUUGCGAAGGCAGCUUACUAAAGUCUUAUUGACGCUGAGGCACGAAAGCGUGGGGGAUCAAAACAGG
rnacentral:rRNA from 1 species